AUCUCUAUCUGGAGAUCACUCCUCUUGGAGCCCUUCCCUGAGCCCAGGACAGGGGAGCUGUGUUUAUCAAGAACAGCAAUGAGGUGGGCUGACUUUGCCCUUUGCAGCAACAGACAAGCUGGGAACCCUCAGCACCAAGACUGUGUUGACUCCAUGAUGGCCAGAAAUAGCACCCAUUUUCUGGCACGUUUGGGAUGCCUGUAUCUGUAAAGAUUUGUUUGUCCUUUCUCUGUGGUCUCACACAAGAAAAAAGUGUCUGGCUCUUUCCCAACAAGCCUAGCUUUGAAUGGGAAUCAAUUAGAACUGUCUGGUCCUGUGAUAGUUAGAAAUUUUGUAUUCUAGGUUUGAAUUGUGUCUGGAAAACACUUCAGAAAUAAAGAGAAUGGGCUGCAGUAUUUUUUUUUUACAAGUAGAAAGUAGAGGCGCAAAGAUCUUCACAUGUGAGAUCUUGUAGGCAGCUAAGAUGAAAGUAUAACAAAUGCUCUGUUGUCCUGUUGCAGAGCAGAACUGGCAAUGAACAGGAAAUGUUUUUCUAAAUGUGAAGCAGAGUCUUUGGAAUAUAAAAUCUUUGAUCUCUGUUGGGUUUGAACCAGUACCUUCUAAGGUUUUCCAGCUAAAGCGUCAAUCACAGAACUUCAUGAGAAAGAAAAAGACAACUUUCUAUGAUAUGGAUUUCUCAAUUUUCCCCAUGUAAAAGAAAUUAAUGCUGCACACAGUUCAGCACCAGAGGCCUUUCUGCUACAUUACAUUGAUUUUAACAAUGUGCAGGAUUUACGGGUGGCAAAAUGUAGACUGCUUUAUUUGUGCAUUGCACAUGUUAGCUUUAUUCACGUAGUGAUUUUGUAAAUCCCAUUUUGUUCCUAUAAUUGUCUGUAUUGACAAUAAAAGCAUUGAUAGUGUUUUAUUUAUUUAUUGUAAAAAGCAGGAAAGAAAGACAGUGCUGGAAUGAUAAAGAUCUGUUGGCAUGCCAAUUUAUGAAUAUGUCGAAUAAAACCAGAAGAAUUAAUGUAGUAUACGCAUAAUGGAUGAUACCCAAAACAAGUUUAUGUCUGCCUGGGUGAAUUAUGUUAUUAACUCUGAAAUGUAAGGACAAACAGCAAAUACCAAUGGAAAACUAAAGAAUAGCCCAAUUGUCCUAGUUGUUGUCCUACAAGGUAGUUUUUUCCUUUCUAAAGGGUCUUAAUAGGUUUUUGGAAGAAUGAGAAGAAAGAAUGCUGCUGAGAUUAAGUCCUUAGAACACUUGGCUCUUCUGUGGUGUAUUCACUGUUAUUCUGUUUAGAUCAGAGGAAGUCAG
ensembl:lncRNA